GUGCCAGCCGCCGCGGUAAUUCCAGCUCUAAUAGUGUAUACUAACGUUGCUGAUGUUAAAAAGCUCGUAGUUGGAUUUAAGAUGGAGCUUUUCGUCCUUGUGUUUUGUAGCCUCGGACUGCUGGUGAGUGGCCAGCUUUUCCGUCGUGGGUUGAUUCAUGAUCCCGGCGGGGGAGGGGUGCUUGUUGGCGCUGGGGUUGCCGCAGGGAUUGCUUCGUCAAUUUUAUUUUCGAAUUGUCUCGGUCCACUUCACUGUGGCACUGAGGCGGUCCGGAAGGUUUACUUUGAAGAAAAUGGAGUGUUCAAAGCAGGCGUUUCGCAGCUGAACACAUUAGCAUGGAAUAAUAAAAUAGGACAUCAGUGGGGUGCUCGCCGGCUUCGUUUUUUCCCGUAUGUUUUUUGUCGGGCUGUCGUCGUUCAUUUCGGUGGGCGGCGGUAGUUUGGCGGCGUGCGGGGGGCGUUGAUGUCGGGGCGCCCCUGCUUUUUUGUAUGCAUCCGUUUUGUUGGUUUUCAGGAGCUGGUGUAAUGAUUAAUAGGGACUGUCGGGGGCAUUAGUAUUGCAUUGUCAGAGGUGAAAUUCUUGGAUUUAUGCAAGACUAACUAGUGCGAAAGCAUUUGCCAAGGAUGUUUUCAUUAAUCAAGAACGAAAGUGAGGGGAUCGAAGACGAUCAGAAACCGUCGUAGUCCUCGCCAUAAACUAUACCGUCUAGGGAUUGGGGGUUGACCUUUAUACAUAGUCUCCUUUAGCACCUUAGGGAAACCAAAGUUUUCGGGUUCAUGGGGGAGUAUGGCCGCAAGACUGAAACUUAAAGAAAUUGACGGAAGGGCACCACCAGAUGUGGAGCAUGCGGCUCAAUUCGACUCAACACGGGGAAACUUAUCAGGUUCGGACACGGUGAGGAUUGACAGAUUGAUAGCUCUUUCUUGAUUCCGUGGGUGGUGGUGCAUGGUCGUUCUUAGUUGGUGGGGUGGCUUGUCUGCUUAAUUGCGAUAACGAACGAGACCUCGGUCUGCUAACUAACGGCGUCCCAUGGCUCGCAAGUGUUGUGGGAUGGUUACCGUUCCUUAGAGAGACUACCGUUGAGAAACGGGGGAAGUGAGGCAAUAACAGGUCCGUUAUGCCCUUAGAUAAUCUGAACCGCACGCGUACUACUAUGGCCGUUUCAACGAGUUUGUCCUGGCCUGGAAGGGUUGGGUAAUCUUUGGAGUAGCGGCCGUGCUGGGGAUCGGUUUUUGUAAUUCUGAACCGUGAACGCGGAAUAUCUCGUAAGUGCAGUUCAUCAGACUGCGCUGAUUACGUCCCUGCCCUUUGUACACACCGCCCGUCGCUCCUACCGAUGAAUGAUCAGGUGAAAUGCUCGGAUGCUCCAACUGUGGCGUGCCGCGAGGUGCGUUGCGGCCGGGACAGAAGAGCAGUAAAUCUUAUUAUUUAGAGGAAGGAGAAGUCGUAACAAGGUUUUCGUAGGUGAACCUGCA
rnacentral:rRNA from 1 species